rnacentral:misc_RNA from 1 species
AAAUGCGAUAAGUAAUGUGAAUUGCAGAAUUCAGUGAAUCAUCGAAUCUUUGAACGCACAUUGCGCCCGCCAGUAUUCUGGCGGGCAUGCCUGUCCGAGCGUCAUUUCAACCAUCAAGCCCCCGGGCUUGUGUUGGGGACCUGCGGCUGCCCGCAGGCCCUGAAAACCAGUGGCGGGCUCACUGUCACACCGAGCGUAGUAGCAAUCACCUCGCUCAGGGCGUGCUGCGGGUUCCGGCCGUUAAACAGCCUUACAAAACCCAAGGUUGACCUCGGAUCAGGUAGGAAGACCCGCUGAACUUAAGC